AGCUUGGAAGAGAAUAUAUUAAUAAAAUCAAACAACUUCACCCACCUCAUUCAUUUGUGCCAUGGGUGGUGGUGAACAAUAAACCUAUUGGAAAAGACUAUGCAAAUUUUACAUACCAUGUUUGCAAGGCUUACAGAGGUGUUGCGGUUCCAGGGGUCUGCAAUCUUGCUUUGAAAUGAAUAUCACUUGUUUUACUUUUAGUCAGGUAAAAGGCUACAGAAAGAUGAUCAGCACAUAAUACUUUCUAGUUCCCAAAACAAACAUUGUCCCUGCAAAUAUGUUACUUCUAUCAUAGUUAAUUAUUAAGGGAAAGAUGAAAUAUCUUAUGUUGUUUUUAUAAGGCCAGUCACAUAUUGUUAACAUGGAAUAUUAAAUAACAUGAAAUACUAAAUAAACACAUAAUGUUGUAGAGACCUCUACUUA